rnacentral:rRNA from 1 species
UACGUAGGGGGCAAGCGUUAUCCGGAUUCACUGGGCGUAAAGGGAGCGCAGGCGGCAUGGCAAGUCUGAUGUGAAAACCCGGGGCCCAACCCCGGGAGUGCAUUGGAAACUGCCAGGCUGGAGUGUCGGAGGGGUAAGCGGAAUUCCCAGUGUAGCGGUGAAAUGCGUAGAUAUUAGGAGGAACACCAGUGGCGAAGGCGGCUUACUGGACGACUACUGACGCUGAGGCUCGAAAGCGUGGGGAGCAAACAGG